rnacentral:rRNA from 1 species
GAUAAACGCUGGCGGUGUGCAUUAUGCAUGCAAGUCGAACGGUUCUUCCCGCAAGGGAAGAAUAGUGGCAGACGGGUGAGUAACACGUAAGUAACCUGCCCUUAAGUGGGGAACAACUUCGGGAAACCGAGGCUAAUACCGCAUGUGAUGCCUUUUCUACGGAAAAGUCAUUAAAGCCGUAAGGCGCUUGAGGAGGGGCUUGCGGUCGAUUAGCUUGUUGGUAGGGUAACGGCCUACCAAGGCUACGAUCGAUAGCUGGUCUGAGAGGACGAUCAGCCACACUGGGACUGAGAUACGGCCCAGACACCUACGGGUGGCAG